rnacentral:rRNA from 1 species
UACGGUGGGAGCAAGCGUUGUUCGGAUUUACUGGGCGUAAAGGGCGCGUAGGCGGUCAGCACAAGUCAGUUGUGAAAUCUCCGGGCUUAACUCGGAAAGGUCAACUGAUACUGCGGGGCUAGAGUGCGGAAGGGGCAACUGGAAUUCUCGGUGUAGCGGUGAAAUGCGUAGAUAUCUGGAGGAACACCGGUGGCGAAGGCGGCAUCCUGGACCACGACUGACGCUGAGUGAGCGAAAGCCAGGGGAGCAAACGGG